rnacentral:rRNA from 1 species
CGGGGUGCAGCAGGCGCGAAAACUUUACAAUGCUGGCAACAGCGAUAAGGGGACCUCGAGUGCCAGGAUACAAUCUUGGCUGUCGCGAUGCCUAAAAAGCAUUGCAUAGCAAGGGCCGGGCAAGACCGGUGCCAGCCGCCGCGGUAACACCGGCGGCUCGAGUGGUAACCGCUAUUAUUGGGUCUAAAGGGUCUGUAGCCGGCCGGAUAAGUCUUUUGGGAAAUCCUGCUGCUCAACAGUUGGGCUUUCAGAAGAUACUGUUCGGCUCGAGACCGGGAGAGGUGAGAGGUACUUCAGGGGUAGGGGUGAAAUCUUGUAAUCCUUGAAGGACCACCAGUGGCGAAGGCGUCUCACCAGAACGGAUCUGACGGCAAGGGACGAAAGCUAGGGGCACGAACCGGAUUAGAUACCCGGGUAGUCCUAGCCGUAAACGAUACUCGCUAGGUGUCAGCCACGGUGCGACCGUGGUUGGUGCCGUAGGGAAGCCGUGAAGCGAGCCACCUGGGAAGUACGGCCGCAAGGCUGAAACUUAAAGGAAUUGGCGGGGG